rnacentral:pre_miRNA from 1 species
CUAUUACUCCCUCCGUUCGGAAUUACUUGUCGCAGAAAUGGAUAUAUCUAGACAUAUUUUAGUUCUAGAUAUAUCCAUAUCCGAGACAACUAAUUCCGAACGGAGAGAGUAGCAU